rnacentral:rRNA from 1 species
UACGAAGGGGGCUAGCGUUGUUCGGAAUUACUGGGCGUAAAGGGCGCGUAGGCGGCCGUUUGCGUCGGAUGUGAAAGCCCGGGGCUCAACCUCGGAACGGCAUUCGAUACGGGACGGCUGGAGACCGGGAGAGGAGAGUGGAAUAGCCAGUGUAGAGGUGAAAUUCGUAGAUAUUGGCUGGAACACCGGUGGCGAAAGCGGCUCUCUGGCCCGGUUCUGACGCUGAGGCGCGAAAGCGUGGGGAGCAAACAGG